AACGAACGCUGGCGGCAGGCCUAACACAUGCCAGUCGAGCGCGCCCUUCGGGGUGAGCGGCGGACGGGUGGGUAACGCGUGGGAACGUGCCCUUUUCUACGGAAUAGCCUAGGGAAACAGAGAGUAAUACCGUAUACGCCCAUUGGGGGAAAGAUUCAUCGGAAAAGGAUCGGCGCGCGUUGGAUUAGUCAGUUGGUGGGGUGAUGGCCUACCAAGCCGAGGAUCCAUAGCUGGUUGGAGAGGAUGACCAGCAACGAUGGGACGGAGACACGGACCAGACUCCUACGCGAGGGAGCAGAGGGGAGUCUUAGACAAGGGGGGCUGCCCUGAUCUCGCCAUGCCGGGUAAGUGAUGAAGGCGGUAGGGUUGUAAAGCUCGCUCAGCUGGGAAGAUAAUGACGGUACCAGCAGAAGAAGCGCCGGCUAACUACGUG
rnacentral:rRNA from 1 species